AUUGAACGCUGGCGGCAGGCCUAACACAUGCAAGUCGAACGAGUGGCGGACGGGUGAGUAAUGUCUGGGAAACUGCCUGAUGGAGGGGGCUAACUACUGGAAACGGUAGCUAAUCCCGCAUACCAUCAGAUGUGCCCCGAUGGGAUUAGCUAGUUGGUGGGAUAACGGCUCACCAAGGCGACGAGCCCUAGCUGGUCUGAGAGGUUGACCAGCCACACUGGAAAUGAGACACGGUCCAGACUCCUACGGGAGGCAGCAGUGGGGAAUAUUGCACAAUGGGCGAAAGCCUGAUGCAGCCACGCCGCGUGUAUGAAGAAGGCCUUCGGGUUGUAAAGUACUUUCAGCGGGGAGGCGUUACCCGCAGAAGAAGCACCGGCUAACUCCGUGCCAGCAGCCGCGGUAAUAC
rnacentral:rRNA from 1 species